rnacentral:rRNA from 1 species
CCUACGGGAGGCAGCAGUGAGGAAUAUUGGUCAAUGGCCGGAAGGCUGAACCAGCCAAGCCGCGUGAAGGACGAAGGUGCCAAGCAUUGUAAACUUCUUUUGUCAAGGGACAAAAUCAGGCUCGAGAGCCUGACCGAGGGUACUUGAAGAAAAAGCAUCGGCUAACUCCGUGCCAGCAGCCGCGGUAAUACGGAGGAUGCGAGGGUUAUCCGGAUUUAUUGGGUUUAAAGGGUGCGUAGUCGGGCUGUUAAGUCAGCGGGAAAAGCCCGGGGCUCAACACCGGCGAGCCGUUGAAACUGGGUGUCUUGAGAUGUCGAGAGGUAUGCGGAAUGCGCAGUGUAGCGGUGAAAUGCUUAGAUAUUGCGCAGAACUCCGAUUGCGAAGGCAGCAUACCGGCGGCGAUCUGACGCUGAGGCACGAAAGCGUGGGUAUCGAACAGGAUUAGAUACCCCAGUAGUC